AGAAUAAGGGCUGGUGUAGUAAUUUUAAUUUCAUAUGCAUACUUCAGUAAUUAUUUAAACUUGUUAUUUAAGUUGAAGUCAAUUUAUAAAUAGUAUUGGAACAUGUAAAAAUAUUAAGAUUUGCUGAACUUACAAAUUUAAUUCAUAGCUUUAAGGGUUAAGUAUUAGUUUUAUAUGCUAAAUCAGAAAAUUGGUGUAUAAAAAGGCUAUAGGAUGGUAAUGAUGAUGGAUUUGACACUCUUAUAACUCCCCUCCCUCUUAAAAUCCUACUAAAGCUAUAGCAAAGAAAUUAUCUUUUUUAAAAGAUAGAAAUCCAUAAGGAUGGGAAGAAAAGGCAAAAAGACAAUGGCAAUACAUUUUGGAAGCUGAAAAGUAGAAUGACUGUUAAAUUACUUUAGCAGGUGCAAGAAACCUGAAUCUUAAUCCUGAAAUGGAGAAAGCCAAGAACGUCCUGAUCUAAACUACAGAGCCCUCAGAAGACUCAGAACAACACACAAGUUCUUGGGAAGCUACUGGAGGAUGUGUGUCAUCAAAACAAGGGAAUCAGCAGUCCUGUAUCUAUGAAGAAACAACUGGAAAUGAUAGGUUCUUGAAUUCCAAUUUUCUUUUAGGGCUCACAUUCUCCUCUGUUAAGUGCAUUCCCAAUCAGCUUCUUUCCUCAGGUUGGAAAGUGGCUGCCAGCAGCUACCAAGGUGCUAUCCUUCCAGAUUCACAUCCUGCAGAAAGAGCAUGAGAUUCCUGGCAGAAGAUUUGAGAUGCACUCAAAGUAUACUGGCUGAAGUCGGGCCUUAAGUCUGGAUGGGAUGCCCCUUUACCUGCUCCCAUUGGGUCCCGUACUUCCACCUUCAUAACACUAACAAUGCUAGAGUGUGGCAGCUCUCAAAGUGUCAUCCUCCAGCAGCAUCAGUAUCACCUACCUGGACAUUUCACAGAAAUGCAGAUUCUCUGGCUCCACCCACAUCCUCUGAAUCAGAAACUGUUGUGUGUGUGUGUGUGGGGGGGGGGGGUUCCGCAAGAUAUCUGUGCUUUAACAAGCCCUCUAGAAGAUUCUGAUGCACUCCCAGCUUGAGAACUCUACUUGCUCUAAUGCGAUUGCCUGUUUACUGUUGGGAUCCCACACCAGAUGUAAGCACCAGGAGGCAGGGCCGCAUCUGUUCCAUUCAACACUGUAUCUGCCAAGCCCACAGUAGGUGCUCUCCUAAUUCUAUGUGGUAGACUUCAAAAGACAAAGAAAGUGUUAUUCUCACUGGCUCUGGCCUGGACCAAGAGAAUGCAGGUUUGAAAGUUUGAGAUUUUUUUUGGAGGGGGGUGGUGGCAGUAAUCUUUUGGAAAACAUGAAGCCCAGUAACUGUCUGAGGCUAAACCGAAAGCACUGGUAAAGGGUUUAAGAUUCUAACGAUUCUUCCAGAACAACCAGCCUGACAAUGAGUAAUAUGCAGUUUGAUGUGAAAAUUAGAAAACUGGCAGAUGAACCUGCAAAAGGGAAAUUGGAUUUCCAGAGAGACGAAUGGGAGGCCAUGCGGCUGAAUAGAGUUCAUAAGAUGCAAACGCAUGCAGGGAGCUGCAGCCCCCACUCGUUCCCAGUGUGCAAAGGAAGUUCCUGCAUCGCGUGCCUAUUAUUUAUUUAUUUAUGGGCAAAAAGCGAGAGUUCCAUGGUGUGGUGUUUAUUAUCAAAAUGGAUGGAUUCAAUAUCAAGCAAUGAUGUGUUCAAAAUGAAAGCCACAUCAUUAAGUGUCACAGGCGUUUAUUAACACAGUUCCCUCCUUAGUCGAAUAAAACAGCCGUUAUCCCACCAGGUCCCACACUCUCGCUUGCCUUUUUUCUUUGUCUGGCUUUGGCAGAGUCUCCGUUUCUGGAGACAGCUUGGCCGACAGCAAAUCUGGGCAAAGCAGAGAUAUCCAAGGGAAGGUAAUGAGGGAUGGAAGACUCCUAGACAGUAGUUUUAGCAAAGAGGAGUCCAUCCUCUAAAAGUACAAGCAUUACUUGUUAACUGACUGCACUCUCACAACCAUCUGUGCCAUUAGCUUGUCCAUUUAUUGUCUAUCCCUUUUCUCCUCUCUCUAACCUCUUCUCUCAUUGCAUAUUAUUAAAAUCAAGAAAUGGCUUCCAUUCUGUGAGCUGUGACUUCUAACGUGGCCACAUAGCUGGUGGAGAGGUGACAACCUUCAUCUCCAAGGAUCCCCUGCACUGCUUGCUUUAUGCCCAGAGCAACCUCAUGCUGACAAGGACUGCACAGUUUUGAACACCCAUGCUCCAAUCAAAAGAAACCAAUUUGUGAGAGACGAUAUAAAUCCAUGAAUACUGCACUGAAACCUCUUUCUGCUCCAGGCAGAGAAGAUAAAUUACCACCCGAGUGAUAUAAAGUUAGUUUGAAUAUUUCAUUGGAUCAAAUGCAACAUGUCUCAGAACCUCUCCUCUUUUAAGUCAGAAUUAAAGAAUUGUUAUCAGGCAUAAUAAUAGACACUAUCAUUUGCAUACAUUUUAUCUCAAGAGACUUUUGAAGUUAUGCAAUACGCCAGUGGUUAAUUGUUCUUCACACUCCUGACAUAUCAAAUUACAGCUCAGAUGAGAGAGCAACCCAUUUGUGACUGGAAUGAUUGGCAGGAGCCUACAAGGAGAGCAUCUUCGAGGACUGAAGGAGGAGUAUCUUUUCAGGCUUUUCCAUGGAGACCUUGGAGACCAUGGGUUCUAGAUGGUUCUGUUAUAACAUGAUGGAGACUUCAUUAGUCUGGGUUCCUAGACGAGUGUGAAACACUUUCCCCACUGAUUGAAUUACAAUUAUAAUGUGAAAGAAAAAUAAAUCUUUAUUGUGUAAAACUA